CUUCGGUCUUUAGUGGCGGACGGGUGAGUAACGCGUGAGAACAUGCCUUUAGAUUGGGGACAACAGUUGGAAACGACUGCUAAUACCGAAUGUGCCCUUAGGGGUGAAAGAUUUAUCGUCUAGAGAUUGGCUCGCGUCAGAUUAGGUAGUUGGAGUGGUAACGGCACACCAAGCCUACGAUCUGUACUUGGUCUGAGAGGAUGACCAGGCACACUGGAACUGAGACACGGUCCAGACUCCUACGGGAGGCAGCAGUGGGGAAUUUUCCGCAAUGGGCGCAAGCCUGACGGAGCAAUACCGCGUGAGGGAGGAAGCCUUUUGGGGUGUAAACCUCUUUUAUUAGGGAAGAAUUGAUGACGGUACCUAAUGAAUCAGCAUCGGCUAACUCCGUGCCAGCAGCCGCGGUAAUACGGAGGAUGCAAGCGUUAUCCGGAAUUAUUGGGCGUAAAGCGUCCGUAGGUGGCUUAUCAAGUCUUUUGUCAAAUCGUGCAGCUUAACUGCAUACGGGCGGAGGAAACUGAUGAGCUAGAGUGCGAUAGGGGUCACAGGAAUUCCCAGUGUAGCGGUGAAAUGCGUAGAUAUUGGGAAGAACACCAGCGGCG
rnacentral:rRNA from 1 species